GACGAACGCUGGCGGCGUGCCUAACACAUGCAAGUCGAGCGGAGUCAGUAAGAGGAAGUUUUCGGAUGGAAUCUUGUUGAUUUAGCGGCGGACGGGUGAGUAACGCGUGAGCGACCAACCUUGCACAGGGGGAUAACGGACCGAAAGGUUCACUAAUACCGCAUGAGACCACGGUGUUGCAUGACACAGGGGUCAAAGGAGCAAUCCGGUGCAAGACGGGCUCGCGUCCGAUUAGGUAGUUGGAGGGGUAACGGCCCACCAAGCCCAUGAUCGGUGGCCGACCGGAGAGGGUGAUCGGCCACAUUGGAACUGAGAUACGGUCCAAACUCCGACGGGAGGCAGCAGUGGGGAAUAUUGGGCAAUGGGGGAAACCCUGACCCAGCAACGCCGCGUGAAGGAAGAAGGCUUUCGGAUUGUAAACCUCUGUUCUUGGUGAAGAGAAGAAGACGGUAGCCAAGGAGGAAGCCCCGGCUAACUACGUGCCAGCCGCCGCAGUAACAC
rnacentral:rRNA from 1 species